UCACUCCUCCGGAGACUUACAGCACACUUAGUUUACAGGUCACUGCCCGGUGUCAGAUGCAAGCCCUGACAGCUGUAGCUGCACAUCUGAGAUGUCUCCCAGAGUGGGCUGGUUCUAACUCCUGCAGAACCGCUGCACCAGGACUUCUGCUCUACAGGAAGACCACAGCUACGUCUCCCUGCAAGCCUACACCGUACAGACUGCAAAAACCUGCGCUAGAAGGAAACAGCCAAGGGUGAGCGAUACCAAGACUGCACCACCAUGGCCCGGUACCACUUUUUCCAGGCUCCAAAUAGAGGAUCUGCUGCAGAGAAGAGCUGAGAGGUUAUAGGAGGUUGCUUGGAACAGGCAAGGAAAACCCAUCGGGAAUGGAAAAUGAGCAGGUUCCUACACAUCACCCAUGUCAAGUCUUUCGGUUACUAAGGAGUGAAAACAAUUCUGUCUUACUCUGAAGGAUUACGAAGACUGCCUAGCCUAUAGCUAGUUUAUCAAAUGAGCACAAACCAACACAAAACGGAUUCUCCACUUGCGAAAGGAAAUCCAAAGAAAAUAUGUGAUCAGUUUUUGUAAUUGCCUUCUUGUCUAGAAGUCUGUCAGGCAUUGACAGAAUAGUUAAAAUGACAAAAAGAAAGAAGGAAGAAAAGAAAACCCAAACAGACCAACCUGCAAACCAAACAGCCAGCCUUUGCUCAACAGCAGCUACCGCAGUUACUCUCAACCAACCAGCGUGGAUGCAAUGCUAAAGCAUAAAAUGCCACUUGGAAUGUUGGGAGAUUUUACAAGGCUAGGACACCACAGAAAGACCAGCAAGUGUCCUCCUGGUCUUGCUGCAAGGAGUCAAAUGACAUUUGGAUUACUGUAGCUCUGACUGCCGACGCUGAGGUUUUUCUAGAAGGCAAUCCACUCUACUGACAUUUGAUUACCACGUGAUAAAUACAGUAGUACCUGGGGACGUGUUAAUUUUCUAAACUCCUGUGAUGGUUUUCUGAUCUCCACCCAUUCCUCCCUCAAAGACCACACAACUAAGUCAUGAUACAGCAAUUGCUCUCUCACGGGAGACCAGAGAAGGAAUGGCCACAAAGAGAACUCACUGCAGUAUCUUUUCAACCUGCUUUUUCAGGCUGAGUUUUAUAUCCGUUUAUUAGGUUUUCAAGUUUUUCAGGUAUAAUUCCCCUUAAAAAUGUUAUUUAUGGUCUGUGCAGGUUUGUAAUAGUGGAAGGGAAAAGAAGUUGUGGGUCUUUGAGAAGUAAUGUGGCCAUUCUGCUAGAUUAACGCACACAGGCUUUUUUCUGCUUGCCAACCUCACCGUCCUAGGAGGACUUUAAAAUUAACACCCCCAGGAUUGUAACUUACAGAGCCCAAAGCCAUUGUGCAAAAAGAAAAAUGACUAUCAAUUCUGCUCUCACCUGCCCAACAGCUGAUGAGAAAACUGCAAGUCAAAAAGUGUCAUUAUUUCCACUCAGAUCAGUAUGGUACUGUUUAACGAGCAAGAUUUCACUAAAAUCCUGCUUUUCCCAAAAGAGUGGGCCACCUUUUACGACCUUUAGGCAAAGAAAUAAACUUUAAUUGACUCUGUAAUGAAUUAAUUGGAGUUUAAUCUCCAUGAGGCCUGACCUGCUGCAAGACUGUCAACCAGGAAAUUAAAGCAGCUUUGUAUAUCCCUGAGCAGGCUCAAAAUAAUGCAGCACUUAGGGAGCCUGUUUCUGAAAGAGAUGAUCCUUGUGCACAAGAGCUCUGGGAUUCACGUCUCCCAGUGUUUCCCAGUUCACAGGCCCAGGCUUCCCAGUUCUGCGUCCAGCAAAACUGCUGACAGUUGGCUGGCACAUUUGCAGGAUCAGGUGGCGGAAAAAAAGUCAGUUACUAUAAAGACAAGCCAGGGAAAUGUUUCCAUCUUAUUUAUCUGUUUCCUGGGUCUAAACAUUAAAUGCUGUUACCAAUCAGAGAAGGUUUUUGUUUCCUCCUGUCCUCCUCUGUUGUUUACAUCCUGCUCAGUGAUGUUAUUUACCUCAAGCCACAGUCUGGGGCCCCUAUAGCUUCCCUACCUAGGGCUUUCUGGAAGGCGUCUCCUCGCGUGAGGGAUGUGUACAGUUACCACAUGUUGAACACGUUUACUACCUCGGCCCAUCAAGUAUUGGACGGGCACUGAUCCCAACCCGCGAGGCUUCUUAACCUCCCAAGCCAUCUAUGACAUAAUGGAGACUCAACUUGGAACGGCCUGUCCUUGCCCAAUCAUGUUCGUCUCCCGCCAAUAGAUCUAUUAUAUCUUUAUGAAUGUACUUCUCAGGCAUAUCAAAAGGAUGGUAAUUUUGUGGGCUGGGGGAUUAUAAAAAGCCAGGAAUUAAUUUAACUGGAAAACCAGUUCUAUUAGUGUAUUGUUUUUAUAAGCACAUCUUGGGCAGAACAACACUUCAAUUUAUUGUUUUGGUUAGAAAAGACUGCUUAUUAAUGCCAAUUUUGCUUUAAGGCUCUGAAUUAAAACCAAAUCACUAAUUUUUUCCUUUUUCUAAUCCAUGAAGUUUCAAGAUGGAAGUGGCUUGUAAGAGCCAAUUCCAAACCCAAGAACAGUUUGGGGAAUAACAUAUAACAAAGUUUCUUGCAGACAACUUUUUUUUACUGCGCGUAGCUGCUGCAGAAACUAAGUCUCAGUUCCACACAGAGGAUCACAUUUUGAGCUGAAACUUAAAGACUCUUAUAACCUUAUAAAGUUCUCUUAUAACCUUUGGGGAUGGUUGAGUUUUAUAAUAGCACACAAAAAGAGCAUCUCAUCUUUUUACAACCAAAUUUUGCAACAAAAAAUGAGAAAGAGAAUUUAAAAUAUGCAUAUAAUAUCACCAAACAGAAUAUGUUCUAAAAUGACAAUAGCAAAGAUGGGUUUAGUACAUGCUACCAACACUAUCCAAAGAAAAAUUCAGAAAAAAAUGAAAUCUGUCCAUCCACUUAAGACAAAAAGGAUAUUAUAGAUAUUAUAUAUAUAAAACAUGAUAUAUAAUGUAUGUUAUAUUAAUUCUCUCUUGGUGCUAGUGAAAGAGAGACAGGGUGUUCUGACUGCAUGUCAUGGAAGCCAGGCUGAAAGUUCUCUUGGUUCAAUAAAAUAACUUUGUGCGGCUCAUUAAAAAAACAGACAUUAACAUAAAUCUGUACCUGAAUGUUGGGAUUCUGCCCAUUGAUAUCUGCUUUUGACAGGUCAGGAAAGUUUGGGAGAUCCAGGAGGAAAGAUCUGGGUCCAUCUCUUUGCAGGGACGUAUGCCCGUUUUCCUGCCUGAAUCGCUGCUUCGGGAACGGCCGGUGGGCAGCCUGGAGAUCAGGGUAUUCUCUUCUGUCCUCAGGGUUCAGGGUGAAGCCAUCUUCAGAAGAAUGGUCAUCUGCAGCGAGUGUGUUCUGGGGGAAAAAAGCAACACACUAUAGCAAGGGAGAGAGCGUGCGGUCCUGCCAGUGCCCUGGCUGCAGCUCCCUGCCAGCGAUGGAAAUCAUCAGGGCACACAGACUUGUGACGCCCUACGGAAGAACAUGGGACUUACGACUGGUAUGUUCUAGGGUGCUCAUGAGUUUCACAUCUGACUCUCACUGAAAUAUACUUAGUCACAGUGUUGCAAAUCUGUAAGUAAACCAAGUCAGACUCCAGUGCUUCGCUCUUUCAGGUUCCCAUAACGCUGCAGCCUUGUGGUGGGCACCCACACAUUGACACGAGCACCUAACCUACAGCAAAUCUGGAAAGAUGAUAUGAAGCAACCCCACUUGCCACCAGUGUCCAUCCAGACAUGGUGCCAUUGACCACAACUCUCUGGGUGUGACCAGCCAGUUCCAUCCACCGAACAGUCCACCUAUCCAAUACACACCUUUCCAAUUUAGUGGAGCAAGACCACUGACUGCUCAGUCCAUGUUGAAAUUUAUGGUAUUAAAAGACCCCACUGCUGAACCGGCAACCCCCCCUCACUCUCCUCAGCCUGCAGCGAGUUCCAUCUCAUUGUCUGUGUUCCUCACCCAGUUUCUCUGGUCUUGACCAUCUGAACUGUCCUUCCUCUGGGAUCUCAUUUUCAUGUUUGCCUAAUGGUGGGAUUGAAUUUCACCAAGUUGUAGGUCAGCGGUUAAUGCUUUUGUUAUUGUUGAGCGUACUUUUGGGUAUUGUAGUACAUUACAGCAGGCUGCCUCCAAACCAGUAGCACUGCUGCCACUGCCUUUGACCUCAGCGAGGAGAUGGAUAUAUUUAAUAUAAAAACACUCGCUCCCAGGGUUAGGACUGGCCUGGGGACUCGGGGCAAAAAAACCAGCAGAGGAAUCAAAUCUUCUUAUAGCUACAAAAAAAAUGCACAGGGCAGAUUCAGCACAGGUUUUGGUUAUGACUCAGCAGAAAAAUUUUAGGCUUGAGGUCUUAAUAUGACCGCCUGGGGAGCUUUUAUUUACAGUUCAUAAAGAGACAGCAAGCAUGGAGAGGGUAAAUGUUAAAGACGUAUCUUUUAAAACAAGCACAAUUAAAGUGGAAUGGCCACAUGUGGUUCUGGCUCUACUGAUGCAUAAUUUUGCCAGCAUUUCUGGUUAAACACAAUCUCCAUCGAGCUCCCCUGGCUCAAAUUAAGCUAGCAUACCUUUUGUUAAGCUCUCAGAUAGAUAACAGUUCCAAUGCCUUUUCCUUUAUUUUGUGUUUAUUUGCUUGCAAGGUCAACCUUUGAUGAGAUUUUAUAAUAUAAUCUGUGCACAUUACAGGAAAAUAUUCAGACAGUUAAAUAAAUCAAGAUUUAAGAGUUAAUCUGGGACUAAGUGAAAUAAUCUCAAGCACGUGGUUCUCCUCUCCCUUUCUUGCUGCACUGCAUUUCUAAGGAGCAAAAUUAGACUUAGCACAAUUAAUGUUGUCUUGGUAUUUUCACGAUCAGAAUGGUUACACUUUGAAAGUACCAAAAGGAUACUUUUAUACAUCUAUCCACAGCACAGACGCAAAAAAUUUCAUUCUGAAUUACUAUACGUGUGCAGUGCUAAAAAUGUAUGUGAUUCUGACGGUCUGUAUUGUUCGAAGGCUGAAAGAAGAAAGCUUCUCUUUGCUGAAGACCAGGUAGGACUUUCAGGUGCUUUUGGUGGGCCACCCAUUAACACACCCCUUAUUCGAUAUAAAGUAGAAAGCAAAUCACACAGCAAGUUCUGAGAAACAAAACUGAGGCCCAUUCAUCUAACUUUAGGUUCCUUAUCCAUGUGCUAGUGCUUUAACUUAACACUUAUCAAACAGAAUUUAACUGCAAACUUCUCGGCACAUGAGGAUUACAUGGCUUCUCAGUUAUGUCUGAGACGGUAUAAUUGCAUUGUUAUUAAAUUACUUCACACAGGAGUUUAAAAAGUGGUACUUAACUACUUUUUUCUUGGGUAUCAUGCCCAUAAUCUUGCCUUUAUUAAAAAUAAAGCGAGUUUUUAUUAAAAAAUAAUAAAAUUCUCACAUACAAUUUCAUCCUUUUCCUAUCUGCUUGCCACUUCAGGAGCGUCUGGAUUCUCCACAUUAACAUACCAUGGAGGUAGAGCUGGGUAAGGACUUGAGGGACCCACGCUUAAUUCUCUGAUAAGACUCGCUGUGUGAUCUUGGCAGGUCAUGGUCUUUCUGUGCCUAGAUGGGGAUAACAGCACUUCCCUUCCUCACUGUGAUGUUUGCGGGGAGCUCAGCAACUACAAUAAUACGGGCUAUAUAAAAAGUUUUUAAUAGUGUCAGACAGAUGGAAUAUCACAUGGAGUUAGUUAGAAAAUUGUCAUGGUAAAGUAAUGACAUCAGGCUGAUCGGGCCCACUACCAAGCUGCUUGGGGCAGGGACUGUCAUUAAUUACAGACUGAAUGAGUUGGGGUUGUUGAAUGUUAAAAAGAAAAGAGGGGGCCAGGAUAUGCGCUAUACCUUACUGCCUUCUACCUAUAGUGCCCUAUACCAAAGGCUGCUGCAGCCAGGAGGAGGAGGGACCACUCCGCUUGCUCAGGGGGGACAUGCUCAGAAGACCCCAGUUCAAUGCCAGCCGACAGCACAGACCUCCUGGUGCAAGGACCAGCCUUCUGGGCACGUACAAGAGAAGGUGUUUCAGUGACACUGUUGGAUUGUUCAAUACCUCAAUGUCCAAGUCAACAGGAAUGCAAAGCCAAGAUGCCUGAGUGAAGCCUCCUGGACAUUAAAACUGGCCCAUGGACAACACCGACCCAUUAACUGUUCCUUAGAAAGGGAGAAAUUCACUUUUUUUAGAGCAGUACUGUAAACAGUGGCAGAAAAAGAUAGGACACAUUAUUUGGAUGGUUUUUGUAGACAAUUACACUGUGCUCAUAAUGGUCAGUGACCAGUGGGCUUAGUCACAAAUACUGAUGUCAAUGGCCAUGCAGGCAAAGGGGAAAUUUCGGUUUUUCUGAGGAAGAAGAGCUAUUGUGGAACACAGCAGUCCAGGAUUUUUCAGUGUGUAUGCAACUAACAAUGAAACAUAAUGGAUGGAAAUUAAUUCAUGCAAUCUGAAGAAAUCCCCAUGCCAAAGCCCAGCUUGGCUUCACGGAUUUAAGUCCAGAUUACAUGUGUUAUGUGCGCAUCAGUUCUGUGGAAAAACGGAGCUAUGAAGAUUCAGAUCCAAGAAGAACCUGGGCUAGGUCUGCAGUGACACAAGUCAUUGACUCCUCUUGCUUUGUGAAAGUCAGUGGAGUGAGGUCAAUUUAAACACACUUGGGGUGUAGGUCUGGCAUGGAGGUGUAAAAGCUAAGGACCUUUGAAUUUCUCCUGCGUUUAAACGUGGACUGACUCCAGCAAAAGCAGUGAGAGAAAGAUUUCACCUCUGAUUUUCCUUUCUCAGCUUUAUGAGCACCUCUGUAAGAUUAAGAGCACCCAAAUAGCCAUUACUCUACAAGAGCUCAAGGUGAACAACUCCAGACCUGCUUUCAUCCUGCUGACUGCUAAAAGGGAGGAAUGAAAAAACAGGACCCACUGCUAUGAGUCCUUCAAGCACUGAAAAACAAGGGCAAAAGCAUAAAGGACCAUGCUUACCAGUACUGCCCACAGCAGCUCCUCUGACCAAGUAUUAUACUGCUCCAACUGUGACAAGCCAUCACUUUUCACAACAAUAGUUACAUUUUACUUUGUUUUCUUUCUUUUUCUGGUAUUUCAAAUCUGAAGUAUUAAUACAUGGAAAUACCAACACUGGAAACAUUCUGCUCUUACUGGUGUAUCAAUGAGCUCACUGUUUCUUGGAAAAGUUAUUAAUCUCUGUGCUUUGGACUAUGAAUAUAGUUGUGCAUUUUCUGCCUUCAAAACUUGUAAAAUCAGUGUCCUGGAGGUACGAUGAUAUUAAAGUGCAACAGUAAUCACUGAACCAUUUAACGCUUCCUUAUGCAACUUACUAAAGCACUCUGCAUUUUUCUAAGUUAUCAAAGAAUCAUAGAAUCGUUUAGCUUGAAAAAGACCUUUAAGAUCAUUGAGUCCAACCAUUAAUCUAGGACAGCCAAGUCCAGCUCUAACCCAUGUACCUGAGCGCCACAUCUACACGUCUUUUAAACCCCUCCAGGGAUGGUGACUCCACUGCUUCCCUGGGCAGCCUGUUCCAGUGCUUCGCAACGCUUUCAAUGAAGACAGUUUUCCUAAUAUCCAAUCUAAACCUGCCCUGGCACGACUUGAGACUAUUUCCUCUCAUCAUAUUGCUCGUUACUUGGGAAAAGAGACUGACACCCACCUUGCUACAACCUCCCUUCCAGCAGUUGUAGAAAGCAAUAAGGUCUCCCCUCAGCCUCCUUUUCCCCAGGUUAAACACUUCAUUGUUCAUUUGUGACAGUGCUUCCAGACUCCGUUCAGGCCUGGAGACCUAUUGCACUACACAUUGUACGCAAGCAACAACACAACAAUGGAAUCUCAACCUCAAAGAGCUUGGCUUCAGAUUUAAAAAUAAAAAAUAAAAUGCAUCAGUGACUUAGCUCUGCUACUACAGAAAAAUAAUGCUUUUAAAAAAUCAUACUUUAUGGAGACUACCACUCAGUCAAUUCAAAGAGCUUUAAAGUAGCGUAGUCUUAAAAGCAGACAGCAAGAUAAGCAUCGUAACAAAAAGGCCAAACAAGCCUAAGCAACACUGUGAACAGAACAAACGAGGCACAACUGGGCACUACCGCAUCUGUCUGCAAGCAAGACUGGCAAAACACACAGAAGAGCGGAAAGCAGUCGACUCAGACUAUUAAAUCUGCCAAAGCUGCUAAAUCUUGUCUAUCGCUGCUUCAUUUUUUUUAGUUGAUGUUUGUGUAAUGAAAUAUCUCAAUUGUCUGCAUGUGUAUUUUAAGUAUGAGUGCAUUUCAAGACUUUAAAAUGAUGACUCAGAAGAAUGUAAGCAUAAAGUAUGGAAAAGUAAUUUACUACCAUUACUUGCAUUCCGUGCACUUUUCCAUACCCAUGACUGGGUUUUCAGAAGUUGUGUCUAUCUCUGCCACAUAUUAUUUUAUGAAGCUUUUCAAACACGAAUAGCACAUUUCUGUAUUAGUUUGGCAGGCAUAGUCUGCAUCAUUAUCUUCUGUGUUCCACUUUCUGUAAAGUUUUCAGAUACUGUGACAAAACACAGCCAGAGUUUUCACCUAA